UUUCAUAGACUAUCUUGAGAUUUUAAAAACAAAAUAAACUCCUUUUAACAGCUCUUCAGAAGGAAAUCAAAUAGCAAGCAUGCACAAAUACUGUAUAGUUUUACAUGUUACGAAAUUUACGAUCUCACAGCUGAAUGUUCAAGAAGAACCAUUCAUUCUCAGCAUAUGAUGAAGGAAAAUAGCAUUUGGAGGCUGAAGACUUAAGCAGGAAGUCUGUGUCACGGGAUCUUGUAGAGCAGGGGCAAAAAGAGGAAAGGUUGGAGAAUGCUCAUGAGAUUUUAAGGUCUUGAAGUUUAAUUUCAAGAAUGGAGUUCUUGAGGAGGGAGGAAGUUCAACUUCCUAAAUGUCUGAAGCCAAAUGGCUUUGCCUGGUCUAUGUGCAAAUCUGCCAGUUAAAACCGUGAAGAUAGUGAUUGUAUGGUGAUUGUA
rnacentral:lncRNA from 1 species